rnacentral:rRNA from 1 species
AACGAACGUUGGCGGCGUGGAUUAGGCAUGCAAGUCGAACGCGAAUCCCUGGGCAACUGGGGAGGAGAGUGGCGAAAGGGGCAGUAAGGCGUGGGGAACCUACCCUCCGGGCCGGGAUAGCUUCGGGAAACUGAAGGUAAUACCGGGCGACGCAGCGAGAUCGCAUGGUCUUGCUGCCAAAGGUCCGCCGCCGGGGGAGGGGCUCACGUGGUAUUAGCUAGACGGCGGGGUAACGGCCCACCGUGGCAAAGAUGCCUAGCAGGUGUGAGAGCACGACCUGCGCCACUGGCACUGAGACACUGGCCAGACACCUAUGGGUGGCUGCAGUCGAGGAUCUUCGGCAAUGGGCGCAAGCCUGACAGGGCGACGCCGCGUGUGCGAUGAAGGCCUUCGGGUUGUAAAGCACUGUCGAGGGGGAGGAAGCCGCAAGGUGGCCCUAUCCCUGGAGGAAGCACGGGCUAAGUUCGUG